UACAGAGGGUGCGAGCGUUAAUCGGAAUUACUGGGCGUAAAGCGUGCGUAGACGGCUAUCUAAGUCGGGUGUGAAAGCCCCGGGCUCAACCUGGGAAUUGCAUUCGAGACUGAAUAGCUAGGGUACGGUAGAGGGAAGCGGAAUUUCCGGUGUAGCGGUGAAAUGCGUAGAUAUCGGGAGGAACACCGGUGGCGAAGGCGGCGACCUGGGUCGACACUGACGCUGAGGCGCGAAAGCGUGGGGAGCAAACAGG
rnacentral:rRNA from 1 species